rnacentral:snRNA from 1 species
GCGGAUGCUAACGCAAUGUGAUUU